rnacentral:misc_RNA from 1 species
AAGUCGUAACAAGGUUUCCGUAGGUGAACCUGCGGAAGGAUCAUUACAAUACGUUUCCACACGUAAACCAAACGUUGAACUGUACAAGCGUCCGAUAGGAAAUGGGGUUCAUGGGCCGGCGGCUUUGAGGUGGAUACACCAAACACAAAUCAAACUUCGGUUUGAAAGGUGAUCGAAAGUGCCUCGGUCGGUUCUUUUUCCGGUGUUGCUCGAGUUUCGCACUCGCAAAACGGAAAAGCCCUUUUCCUAGUUCGCGUAUUUAUCCAUUCAAACACUUUUGCAUCGCCUUUUUUCCUUUUUAACCCCUUUCACCUUUUUUACUUCAACAUUAUUGAACUGAUUUCGAGCUGCUUAACCGCGCUCGAUCAUUUUUACGAAACGUAAGAACAACUCUUAACAACGGAUAUCUUGGCUCUC